CGCAUGUCAUCAGCAUGCGUUGAUUACGUCCCUGCCCUUUGUACACACCGCCCGUCGCUACUACCGAUUGAAUGGCUCAGUGAGGCCUCCGGACUGGCUCGAAGAGGUUGGCAACGACCACUUCGAGCCGGAAAGCUGGUCAAACUCGGUCAUUUAGAGGAAGUAAAAGUCGUAACAAGGUUUCCGUAGGUGAACCUGCGGAAGGAUCAUUACCUAGAGUUUGUAGACUUCGGUCUGCUACCUCUUACCCAUGUCUUUUGAGUACCUUCGUUUCCUCGGCGGGUCCGCCCGCCGAUUGGACAACAUUCAAACCCUUUGCAGUUGCAAUCAGCGUCUGAAAAAACAUAAUAGUUACAACUUUCAACAACGGAUCUCUUGGUUCUGGCAUCGAUGAAGAACGCAGCGAAAUGCGAUAAGUAGUGUGAAUUGCAGAAUUCAGUGAAUCAUCGAAUCUUUGAACGCACAUUGCGCCCCUUGGUAUUCCAUGGGGCAUGCCUGUUCGAGCGUCAUUUGUACCUUCAAGCUCUGCUUGGUGUUGGGUGUUUGUCUCGCCUCUGCGUGUAGACUCGCCUUAAAACAAUUGGCAGCCGGCGUAUUGAUUUCGGAGCGCAGUACAUCUCGCGCUUUGCACUCAUAACGACGACGUCCAAAAGUACAUUUUUACACUCUUGACCUCGGAUCAGGUAGGGAUACCCGCUGAACUUAA
rnacentral:rRNA from 1 species